GACGAACGCUGGCGGCGUGCCUAAUACAUGCAAGUUGAGCGCUGAAGGUUGGUCCUUGUACCAACUGGAUGAGCAGCGCACGGGUGAGUAACGCGUGGGGAAUCUGCCUUUGAGCGGGGGACAACAUUUGGAAACGAAUGCUAAUACCGCAUAAAAACUUUAAACACAAGUUUUAAGUUUGAAAGAUGCAAUUGCAUCACUCAAAGAUGAUCCCGCGUUGUAUUAGCUAGUUGGUGAGGUAAAGGCUCACCAAGGCGAUGAUACAUAGCCGACCUGAGAGGGUGAUCGGCCACAUUGGGACUGAGACACGGCCCAAACUCCUACGGGAGGCAGCAGUAGGGAAUCUUCGGCAAUGGACGAAAGUCUGACCGAGCAACGCCGCGUGAGUGAAGAAGGUUUUCGGAUCGUAAAACUCUGUUGGUAGAGAAGAACGUUGGUGAGAGUGGAAAGCCCAUCAAGUGACGGUAACUACCCAGAAAGGGACGGCUAACUACGUG
rnacentral:rRNA from 1 species